rnacentral:rRNA from 1 species
AUUGAACGCUGGCGGCAUGCCUUACACAUGCAAGUCGAACGGCAGCGGGGACUUCGGUCCGCCGGCGAGUGGCGAACGGGUGAGUAAAGUAUCGGAACGUACCUUUCAGUGGGGGAUAACGUAGCGAAAGUUACGCUAAUACCGCAUAUUCUGUGAGCAGGAAAGCAGGGGAUCGCAAGACCUUGCGCUGAUUGAGCGGCCGAUAUCAGAUUAGCUAGUUGGUGGGGUAAAGGCCUACCAAGGCGACGAUCUGUAGCGGGUCUGAGAGGAUGAUCCGCCACACUGGAACUGAGACACGGUCCAGACUCCUACGGGAGGCAGCAGUGGGGAAUUUUGGACAAUGGGGGCAACCCUGAUCCAGCCAUGCCGCGUGAGUGAAGAAGGCCUUCGGGUUGUAAAGCUCUUUCGGCCGGGAAGAAAUCGCGCAGGCUAAUACCCUGUGUGGAUGACGGUACCGGAAUAAGAAGCACCGGCUAACUACGUGCCAGCAGCCGCGGUAAUACGUAGGGUGCGAGCGUUAAUCGGAAUUACUGGGCGUAAAGCGUGCGCAGGCGGUUUCGUAAGACAGAGGUGAAAUCCCCGGGCUCAACCUGGGAACUGCCUUUGUGACUGCGAGGCUAGAGUACGGCAGAGGGGGGUGGAAUUCCACGUGUAGCAGUGAAAUGCGUAGAGAUGUGGAGGAACACCGAUGGCGAAGGCAGCCCCCUGGGCCGAUACUGACGCUCAUGCACGAAAGCGUGGGUAGCAAACA